AGUGAACGCUGGCGGUAGGCCUAACACAUGCAAGUCGAACGGCAGCACAGUAAGAGCUUGCUCUUACGGGUGGCGAGUGGCGUACGGGUGAGGAAUACAUCGGAAUCUACUUUUUCGUGGGGGAUAACGUAGGGAAACUUACGCUAAUACCGCAUACGACCUACGGUUGAAAGCAGGGGAUCUUCGGACCUUGCGCGAUUGAAUGAGCCGAUGUCGGAUUAGCUAGUUGGCGGGGUAAAGGCCCACCAAGGCGACGAUCCGUAGCUGGUCUGAGAGGAUGAUCAGCCACACUGGAACUGAGACACGGUCCAGACUCCUACGGGAGGCAGCAGUGGGGAAUAUUGGACAAUGGGCGCAAGCCUGCUCCAGCCAUACCGCGUGGGUGAAGAAGGCCUUCGGGUUGUAAAGCCCUUUUGUUGGGAAAGAAAAGCAGCAGGUUAAUACCCCGCUGUUCUGACGGUACCCAAAGAAUAAGCACCGGCUAACUUCGUG
rnacentral:rRNA from 1 species